GGCUCCGUAGUUCAACGGAUAGAAUGAAGGUUUCCGGUACCUUAGAUGGGGGUUCGAUUCCCUCCGGAGCUA
rnacentral:tRNA from 2 species